UCUCUUCAAUUCCCCUCAUCUCUUUCUCUCUUGACUCAAUCUAUUACAGAGAGGAGGCAUCCUGUGCGGUCGGCGAGGUCGACUUCCACCUGAGUGUGCGGCUCCGGUGAGAAGAUGAUGGGAGGUCCGUCGAGCGGGGCCAAUCUGCUGCGGUUUACGCCAUGAACACCAACUCAGCCUGGACGGGGUCAGGCCGCCAGGUCGCCGUUUCCAUCUAUUCCGCCUUGGCUGAGGCGGCGGUUGUGCUCGACCACCAUGGAUCGGCCCAGAUCAUGUGCCGCUGGAGUAGAGGGAGCGACAACAGCCGUUUCAGCAUGCCUGCCUCGGCCGGUAUGACAUUUGCCGAUUCGAAGUUGAGUCUGGUGGAUCCAGCUCGGCCGCAGGUGAAGAUAUGGUGUUUCCAUCAUGUCGAUCAAUUUUUGUUAGCUUAUUUUUUUCUUCCUUCGAUUGUGUUUCCCGUUGAUUUUUGUCUAGCAGUUCUUCCUUCUUAGGUUUCUAUGAGUGCACGUGGGGCUGCAGGGCGACGGCAAGGUCAGCCUCUUUCUGCAUUCUCCCCUUUAGGUCCUACUUCGGUGUCGUGGACUUCUAGAUGUCACCGCCCCUGCUAAAGUUUGAGGGUUCAAAAUUGUCCUGGGCUGCGGGUUGUGUCGCCAGUAAAACCGUCGUCUCUAGGGUCAAGUGAUGGCGACCGCAGCGAGCAGCAUCACCUUGAUAUGGCAGGCUGCUGGAGGACGUGUGCGCAGGGACAAGGAGGAGUUGUGCACCAUUCAAACCUGCUCAGUCGUCGGUUUAAAGUUGGCUUGCUAAGGAAAGUUGUUCCGUAGAUGACAUUAUUCAUGUAUUCAUGUGUAUGGCUCGCCAGUGUGUUCUGUUUCAUAUGCUAACCUGAUUUGCAGAAUAUGACCCAUUCGCUUCCCACACAAGAGCCUUUUGGUGAUGCAGCCACAGCUGCCUUAGAAUCUAUUUGUUUUGGUGUGCGAGGGGCAGCUUCACCCUCUAGAGUUUCAGCAGUUGUUCCUUGGCGGCAAGCAGGUUUUGGCCUCCUCACUUCCUCCCACUCACAUGCUGUAGCAAUAUCAAGGUUUGCAGUGCUUCCUCUCCUCUUUGUGGAUGCUUCUGUUGAUGGUUCAAUUUUUAGUCUAAAAGUGAAAAAAAUAUAUGCUUGGAUAGAAUUAAUUAUGUAUGAUGCUUAUGCCUACAAUGAUCUCCUUAUUGUUUCAGUUCAAAGAUUAAAGUCAAAACUACCAGGUUGUUUAUGAUAAAGCUGUUUUGCCUUAUUUCCCUUUUUGUGCUGCAAUAUUUGCUAUGGGUUGAGAAUGAACGCCUACAUGUAUUGCCUUCUUCUCUUGCUUUUUUGCAUCGUUUAACAAGUACAUAAUUUGAAUCUAGCUGAUUGAUGCUCUUUUCUAAAUUGUGUCCUUAUGCAUAUUCUUAUGUUCAGUUCUGUGGUGGCUAGAAGGUUUAGCUGGAUGUUCAUCCACUUCUCUAUUAAGGUGUUUCUUGCUACCUGUAAUGGGCCUGAACACAAUCUGUCUGUAUAUAUAGCUACUCUUUGUAUUAUUUAUUAAGUCUGUAUAUAUAGCUACUCUUUGUAUUAAGUUACUGCAUUUGUUUUUUCCUUUUAGCUCCGUCAGCUUAAGUUUCGUAGUUGUUUACAUGCUCCACUAAAAUUUGUAAUUCUGUAGCUGCAACACUUGCAACUGUGUUUCUCUUUAAGACUAUGCUAAGAAAAGGUUAGUGUGCUAAAAAAAAUACAAAGCUACAAUACUCCAUCUGUUCCUAUAUAUUGAUGCCAUCAUGGGUGAAUCUCUUCCUAUUUAUGUGCUUCUAUGGUAACAUCCCAGAUUCUAUUUUCCUUUGCUAUUUCUAUUAAAAUGCACACAUUCAGAGCUAACCGCAGAGAGCUAAUUGCAGAUUUCAAGUCGUAUUCAGUCGCUUAUCUAAAAAAGGUGGAGCUCCUAUUGAUGGUUACUUGGUUCAAAAGCUAUGUGGAGAAGCUCAAAACCUUAAGUCGCUUAAUGCACUUAGAUAGAAGGCUUUUCUCAUUUAGAUAGAAGGGCCAUAGGGCCAGUGCAUAGUUUUCAUGUAUGUAACCACUGCUUAAUUUUCUGUACAUUUCCAGGCGAUGACCUGAGAACUACUUCCGAGUGUUUAUUACACAGUAUAUGUUAUCCUGCC